UACGAGGGGGGCGAGCGUUGUUCGGAAUUAUUGGGCGUAAAGGGUGCGUAGGCGGCUUGGUAAGUCUGAUGUGAAAUCUAUGGGCUCAACUCAUAGUCUGCAUCGGAAACUGUCGGGCUUGAGUGUGGGAGAGGUGAGUGGAAUUCCUGGUGUAGCGGUGAAAUGCGUAGAUAUCAGGAGGAACACCGAUGGCGAAGGCAGGUCUCUGGGCUGUAACUGACGCUGAGGAGCGAAAGCAUGGGGAGCGAACAGG
rnacentral:rRNA from 1 species